ensembl:lncRNA
GGGGAGCCUGGUGGACUGCCGUCUAUGAGGUCACAAAGAGUUGGACACGACUGAAGUGACUUAGCAGCAGCAGCAGCAGCUUUGGUCAUAGUCAUUCUUCCUAAGGCCCACUUUGCAUUCCAGUGUGUUUGGCUCUAGUAUUUUCUGUGGUCGUCUAUUGCAUUACCAUCAAAAUCUCUCCUUCAGUGCCCUGUUACCUACUUCCAGAUCACGGAGACAAUAAAGAUGGUGCUGGGCUAGGGCCCAUCUGCUGACCUGAGGACAAAGCCUCACAUGGAAGACAUCAAAUCCCCAGAGUCCUGGUGUGACGUGCAUGUACGUCUCAUCUGGACACUUCUGCCUGAUGCUUAUCUGGACACUUCUGCCUGAGGCUUCCUGGAAAUGGCUGAAGCAGUUCUUUAGUGUUCGACAAAUGCAUAUUUUGUACUCAGCCAACACGGUGUCCUGCAGAGGAGUUUGAAUCCCCCAUGGAUCUCCCAUGCUCCACCUGUCCAUCCCUCAAAACCUCACUUGGAACUACUGACAACUACUGAACUUUUUACUCUUUUAAAGGUUUGCAUUUUCCAG